rnacentral:ncRNA from 19 species
UAUAUUUGUCGGCAGAUUGGUUCGCCGAAGCUUUCCUGCUUUGGGCGAUUAAAAGGGAAUCGGGUGUAACUCCCGGACAGUCCCGCUGCUGUGAAGCUUUAUUAUAAACAUUCCGAUAGGAUACUCUUUGGCCACUGACUCGUGUAGUCGGGAAGGCGUUCGGAAUGGAAGCUAAGUCAGAAGACCUGCCACUCUCGCUGAUAAGUCU